rnacentral:rRNA from 1 species
GCGCUCGUGUGAUACGGAGUUUCAUCCGGUAAAGCGAAUGAUCAGAGGAGCUGGGCUCCUUGCGAGCUCAACCUAUUCUCAAACUUUCAAUGGGUGAGACGUCUCGCUGGCUUCAGUGCAGCGACGACUCUGAAUCCGAGUGCCCAGUGGGCCACUUUUGGUAAGCAGAACUGGCGAUGCGGGAUGAACCGCAUGUCGAGUUAAGGUGCCUAAGCGGACGCAAAUCAGAUACCAUGAAAGGUGUUGAUUGCUCAGGACAGCAGGACGGUGGCCAUGGAAGUCGGCAUCCGCUAAGGAGUGUGUAACAACUCACCUGCCGAAGCAAUCAGCCCUGAAAAUGGAUGGCGCUAAAGCGUUCCACCGAUACUCGACCGUCGUCGGCAGGCGACGUGCUCGUCACGUCUCAAGCCACGACGAGUAGGGCGGCGCGGCGGUGAGCGUCGAAGGCGUAGCCGUGAGGCUAGCUGGAGCCGCCGUCGGUGCAGAUCUUGGUGGUAGUAGCAAAUACACAAGCAAGAUCCUUGUGGACCGAUGUGGAGAAGGGUUCCGCGCGAACAGUACUUGGACGUGGGUGAGUCGGCCCUAAGCCAACGGGUAAUUCC